AUGAAAUUUAAAGAUGGAAUAGGCAUGUUGCCUGCUGGUUUGUGUGGCCACCUUAUUGUCCGUUGUUACAAUUGCAAUGACAUUACGUGUUGACAUGGGAAAAGCCCACAAUUCAUCCCAUGGGCUGAGGGUUUUUGAUGUCAAUACUAAACUUGCUACUGGUUAUAAAUUGAGCGACUCAUAUACUCCAAAUAUUUAUGACGUCUUUCAAGGCUUUUUUUAAUUAUUAUGUGGCCUUCGUAGGAAGGCGUCACAAAAAAAAAAAAAAAAAAAAAAAAAAAAAAAAAAACCUUGUAAGAGGUCAUAAAUAUUUGGACUACCAUUCUCCAUGCCAACACUAACUUUCUUUUCUUUUUGUACAGCGCUC
rnacentral:lncRNA from 1 species